rnacentral:rRNA from 1 species
UACGAAGGUGGCAAGCGUUACUCGGAAUUACUAGGCGUAAAGGGCAGGUAGGUGGUUUUGUAAGUCUGUUGUGAAAGCUCCCGGCUUAACUGGGAGAGGUCAACGGAUACUGCAGAACUUGAGUAUAGGAGAGGUUACUGGAAUUCCCGGUGUAGCGGUGAAAUGCGCAGAGAUCGGGAGGAACACCAAUGGCGAAAGCAGGUAACUGGACUAUUACUGACACUCAGCUGCGAAAGCUAGGGGAGCAAACAGG